rnacentral:miRNA from 1 species
CGAUUGUUGGUAGUGUUCUUUA